AGAGUUUGAUCCUGGCUCAGAACGAACGCUGGCGGCGUGCCUAACACAUGCAAGUCGAGCGAGAAAGUCCCCGCAAGGGGAUGAGUACAGCGGCGAACGGGUGAGUAACACGUGGGCAACCUGCCCUUCAGUCAGGAAUAACCCCGCGAAAGCGGGGCUAAUACCAGAUGACGUCCUCUGAGGGCAUCUUCGGGGGACCAAAGGGGGCGAGCGAAAGCGGCUCUCGCUGAGGGAUGGGCCUGCGGCUGAUUAGCUAGUUGGUAGGGUAACGGCCUACCAAGGCGACGAUCAGUAGCCGACCUGAGAGGGUGACCGGCCACACUGGGACUGAGACACGGCCCAGACUCCUACGGGAGGCAGCAGUGGGGAAUAUUGCGCAAUGGGCGAAAGCCUGACGCAGCGACGCCGCGUGGGCGAUGAAGGCCUUCGGGUCAUAAAACCCUGUCGGGUGGAACGAAUCUCCGCCUCGCUAAUAUCGAGGCGGAUUGACGGUACCACCGAAGGAAGCCCCGGCUAACUACGUGCCAGCAGCCGCGGUAA
rnacentral:rRNA from 1 species